UGAUGAUUUGUGUUCAAAAACCUUUUGGUGUCGUGGGUUCGAAUUCUGGUCAAUGCAAGAUUUUUAUUAAUAGAAAUUCAGUCUUCGUUGAAGGUAAUAGGUUCUGUAGCGUGCGAAAAAAUUUCGUAUUUCACUGUGUCCGGGGAAUAAAGUGAAAUAAAUACCAUCAAAACGACAUUUAAUGAAUGCAUGGAAAGGUGAUGAU